UAUUAUUGAAUUGAUGGUAGAUUAUAUUGU
rnacentral:piRNA from 1 species